rnacentral:rRNA from 1 species
GUCUAUGGCCACAUCACCUUGAACAUGCCUGAUCUCGUCUGAUCUCAGAAGCUAAGCAGGGUCAGGCCUGGUAAGUACUUGGAUAGGAGAUUAGCAUGUAACUGAGAACUGUGUGGC